AGUGAACGCUGGCGGCGUGCCUAAUACAUGCAAGUCGAACGGACAAGUAAGAGCUUGCUCUUAUGAGUUAGUGGCGCACGGGUGAGUAAUGUAUAGCUAAUCUGCCCUACACUAGAGGACAACAGUUGGAAACGACUGCUAAUACUCUAUACUCCUCUCUAGCAUAAGUUAGAUAGGGAAAGUUUUUCGGUGUAGGAUGAGGCUAUAUUGUAUCAGCUAGUUGGUGAGGUAAUGGCUCACCAAGGCUAUGACGCAUAACUGGUCUGAGAGGAUGAUCAGUCACACUGGAACUGAGACACGGUCCAGACUCCUACGGGAGGCAGCAGUAGGGAAUAUUGCUCAAUGGGGGAAACCCUGAAGCAGCAACGCCGCGUGGAGGAUGACACUUUUCGGAGCGUAAACUCCUUUUGUUAGGGAAGAACAAGACGGUACCUAACGA
rnacentral:rRNA from 1 species